GUAGGUGAACCUGCGGAAGGAUCAUUAACGAGUUAGGGUCUUCCAGGCCCGACCUCCCAACCCUAUGUUUAUUGAACCUCUGUUGCUUCGGCGGACCCGUCUCACGGCCGCCGGAGGACCGCUGAAAGGCGUCCUCUGGCCCGCGUCCGCCGAUGGCCAACCACUCAAACUCUGAAUGAAUCGUGUCAUAUGUCUGAGUCUAUGAUUAAAUUAAAGCAAAACUUUCAACAACGGAUCUCUUGGUUCUG
rnacentral:misc_RNA from 1 species